GUAGGUGGCAAGCGUUGUCCGGAAUUAUUGGGCGUAAAGCGCGCGCAGGCGGGGUUCGUUUAAGUCUGAUGUGAAAGCCCACGGGCUCAACCGUGGAGGGUCAUUGGAAACUGGAGAACUUGAGUACAGAAGAGGAAAGCGGAAUUCCACGUGUAGCGGUGAAAUGCGUAGAGAUGUGGAGGAACACCAGUGGCGAAGGCGGCUUUCUGGUCUGUAACUGACGCUGAGGCGCGAAAGCGUGGGGAGCAAACAGGAUUAGAUACCCUGGUAGUCCACGCCGUAAACGAUGAGUGCUAAGUGUUAGGGGGUUUCCGCCCCUUAGCGCUGCAGCUAACGCAUUAAGCACUCCGCCUGGGGAGUACGGCCGCAAGGCUG
rnacentral:rRNA from 1 species